rnacentral:lncRNA from 1 species
CAGCCAUGUUGCUCACACAAAGCCUGUUUGGUGGUCUCUUCACACGGACGCGCAUGAAAUUUGGUGCUGUGACUUGGAUCGGGGGACCUCCCUUGGGAGGUCAAUCCCCUGUCCUCCUGUUCUUUGCUCCAUGAGAAAGAUCCACCUACGACCCCAGGUCCUCAGACCGACCAGCCCAAGGAACAUCUCACCAAUUUUAAAUCAGGUAAGCGGCCUCUUCUUACUCUCUUCUCCAACCUCUCUCACUGUCCCUCAACCACUUUCUCCUUUCUACUCUUCAAUCUCUCCCUUCUCUUAAUUUUAAUUCCUUUCAUUUUCUGGGAGAGACAAAGGAGACACAUUUUAACCAUGGACUCAAAACUCGGCGCUGGUCACGGACUGGGAAGGCAGACUUCCCUUGGUGUUUCAUCAUUGCAGGGACGCCUCUCUGAUCAUUCACCCACAUUUCAAAGGUGUCAGACCAUGCAGGGACGCCCACCUUGGUCCUUCACCCUUAGCGGCAAGUCCCGCUUUUCUGGGAAAGGGGCAAGUACCCCAACCCCUUCUCUUCCGGCCCAAGGCUCUCUGACUGACUCCUUCCCAGAUCUUCUCAGCUUAGCGGCUGAAGACUGACACUGCCCGAUCGCCUCGGAAGCCCCCUAGACCAUCACGGACGCUGAGCUUCGGGUAACUCUCACAGUAGAAGAGGCAUUAGGAAGCAGUUCAUGGGGAUAAAGGGAGAAUUGAUGGAUUUUGCAUAUAUUUGCAAUAUGAUUCUGCUAUGUUAAACAUUUAAAAUCAUUGCAUUAGAUCAUCUCUAGUUUUUUUCUGAUAAAAAAAUAUUAUUUGUAAUUUUACGAAGUAUAUAGCCCUAAUUUAGGAGAGAACUGGGAAUUAGAAAACACAGAUUCCAGGCCGGCUCUUUUGUUUAUAGCCCUGAGAUUUUAAUAAUGCUUAUCAUUAUCUCUGCCUUUUUUGUCUUCAUCUACAAAAGGGAGCUAGUAAUAAUUCUCUAUGCACUUCUAGGAGCUAUAGAGCAAAUAGUAGGUAGAAAUAGAUGUGAAGUACUUUGAGAAGUUGAAAGUGUUAGGCAAAGGAAAGAUAUUACCAGUUGCUACAGCCCAUGACUAUCCCAACUACAAGAUUUCUGGGACCUUGAAAAAUUAGACAGAAUCUGGUAGGGAAUGACCUAAAUUCUUAUUUUCCAAGAGUGAAUCAGCAUAAUGUCCUUCAUGAGACUAGCUCUGGAGUAUAAUUGCCCAGGUGACCUUCCUGUGCCAGGUCAACCCACCUGGCUUAAUUAUCCAAGCCGUUUGAGAGCAUGUCCAUAGGUGAGAGAAGAAAAAGAGAAAAACCAAAAAAGAAGCCUUGAGGUGGAAGUGUUUGACCUUCAAAAUGCUAUUUGAGACUCUUCAAAAUGCUGGGACUCUUUUGCCUACACCUUGGGCACACACAGCUCUUGGCUGACCUUGACUCUCAUUCUCUGUCCAUCUUGACUGAUCAUGCCCCACACUUUCUGGCCUUGCUUCGGGCCUUAAAUCCAGACUGCUGACCUCACUCAUCGGCUGAAUGUUCCCCUGAGCUUCCAUAAUCAGCUGUUCCCCUCCAUCUAUUCCUGGUUGAACUUUUUCUUCUCUUGGGGGUAGUCACACUUCAUAAUCAUAUUUAUAACACGUAAAUAGAGUGACCAAGUCAUCCUGGUUUGCCUGGAACUUUCACAGUUUUAAAACAUAAAAUUCUAGCUGGGGGGGGUGAUGUGCUACUGUAGUCCCAGUUACUUGGGAAACUGAGGCAGGAAGAUAGUUUGAGCCCAAGAGUUUAAGGCCAGUCUGGGCAACAUAGGGAAAUCUUUUCUCUUAAAAACAACAAUAAGAAAAACAUUGGAAAUUCCAUGUCCUAGUAAUGAUCACAGCAUAUCAGACACAAAGAAGUCCAAAUAGGAAGAAGCAGAGAGAAGACAUUGUGGAAAUCAUACCAGACCAGCUAUGGCACCCAGUGUCUGCAAUGUGCAGUUUAUAGCCAAUUCCUCUCCAGGGACCUGAGGGCAGGCCAGGCAAACCACAGAUGGCACUGUUUCAGCAGAGCACUACGUCUGUGAUUUUCUAUACACAGAUUUAUAUCUGUGCUCCCUGGAUAAUUAAGAAUUUUCUAGACACCAUAAGCUACUUUUUAAAAAUGUGAUUUUUUUUUACAUAGAAAGAAAAUUCAUCUUUUAGAAUGCUUAACAGAUUUCCCAUGUAUCAUACUGUGAAAUAUAUAUAUUUGGUCUUUGUCCCCAUCUCCUGGCAUACAACUCCUAAAAUUCUUGGAAUCUCCAAAGUGAUAAGUGUCUUUUUGUAUGCUAAUGAGUUGACUGAUGGCUGACAGCCCCUGGGCAGCUUCAGGAUGGGGUCUGUUCACAAAAAAAAAGCCAAGGCAUGAUUAUAGGAUUGAGAUUUUCAGCUUUACUCCCAACCUCCAGAGAGGGGAGAGGGGCUGAACAUUAAAUUGAUCACCAAUAGCCAAUGUUUUAAUCAAUCAUACCUAUGAAAUGAAGCCUCCAUAAAAACCUGAAAGGACAGGGUUCAGAGGGCUCUCAUAUAGUUGAACACAAGGUUUCUGGAGGGUGGUGCACCCAGGAAGGGCAUGGAAGCUCUGUGCUCCUUCCCCCAUGCAUCUCUUGCCCUGUGCAUCUCUUCAUCUGUACCCUUUGUAACACCCUUUAUAAUAACGAACUGGUCAACAUAAGCAAGCGUUUCCCGUCUGGGGCAAGGAAAGUACCAGACAAACCUGAACAUUUUGAGGUGCCAGAAAGUAAGGAAGAUCUCAAAAAAAUGAUGGGAACAUAUCAAAGCCACCAUGCCACCUUCCACCAUGAUUUUGAGGCCUCCCCAGACACGUGGACCUGUAAGUACAAUAAACCUCUUUCCUCUCAGGAGAAGUGAAGAAAGGCGAAGGGACACAGGGAUCAUACAGGAAACCUGCCUCCAAUUAGCUAAAAAGCAGACAGAAUUGUCCUUUAGGUUCCCAGUUCCAUUGUUGUUGUUUUUCUUUUUCUUUUUUUUUUUUUUCUGGCUGCCUGUGUCCUACAGGGUCUGUUCCUGAGGGCAGAGCUGUAUCCAGGCCAGUUAGAGGCAAAGCCAGGAGGGCUGGGGAUAUUGCAGCAGCACAUACAUGACCGAGGCCAGGGCUCAGGUCCUUGGGCUGCAGCGCCAGAAAAGAUGAAGAUGCUGGGAAGGGGAAGUGUGGGGGUUCAGUGUGGAGCAAAUGCGUGAGGCACAUCCUGGUGGGAAACAGUGGGAGAAUAGAACAGCCAGGUGAACUGAUCUCUGGGCAGAGCAACACAUGUUCUAACAUGUGUGAGACUGACUGCCUCUCCUCUAUGAAGAGAUGCCAGUGACAGCCAGGACUGGUGUAGGCUCUAUUGAGCAUCACAGUCAUAUGUGAGUGCCCAAGAGAAGCUAUUCACUUUCUCAGAUGCGGUUUGCAGAGGGAACUUCACAGGCUCUCUGGGAUUGCUCACAUUUGGCAGCUAAAGUGGAAUCACCAAUCCAAAAUACUCACCCCAGGCGUGGGGUCACUCCCAGUGGCGGAGAUGCCCUGCAUUUCCAUUGCCUGGACUGAGGAACAGAUGAAAGGGGAACCACACCAGGGUGGUGGCCUGGGAUGUGCCUACUCCCUAAGCCAAGCUUCUCUGUCCUGAGUGGGCUUAGGGUCCCCUGCAGCGUGGGUGUUAAAUGCUGCUUCCUAGGCCUCACCCUCAGAGCUUCCAGUUCAGUCGAGUCCAGGUCCCUAACCUGUCGUCGUCCAAUUGAUUUUGAUCAGGUGCCCCAUGGCCCCACUUUGAGAAGCAGAUCGAGUCCACCUGUGCAUCUUCCCUGUUGUCCCUAAAAAUAAGGCUAAAAAAAGGCACCAGUUCAAAAAUCCAGUUUAUUUGUUUGAAGUUCAGGUUUACAGUUCCUCCAAUUCUCAGAUCGCAGAAGAAGCAUCUGGAAGGAAAUGACCCCUGCACCCACCACACCCCAACUACAGCCAAGGGAGUUCACGCCCACAAUCUCUGGGCUCCUUCCACGGCAGGGAAGCCUUUGAUUCUGCACCUACCCCUUGAGUCUAGAGGUCAUAGGCAGCCAGUGGACAUUUCUGGGUUUUGGGUCAGCUGCAGCUGCAUUCCUGGGCGGGGGCUGUGUGAUGUGCUGAGUGUGUCUUGGAAGGGUCGCUGGAAUCCACUUACCUGGGAUGCUGCUCCUAAACACCCCUUUUCCAGCUGCGGCCGGGGUCACCUGCAACAUCAGUUCAGCCACGCAGGUGAUCCAACCGGCUUCAUUUCACCCAUCCUCACUAGAAUCUCAGUUUAACCAACAGAGCUCCAGUGUUGUUUUCAUGACAAACCCCCCAUCUUAAGUCAGGGUCUGGUAAGUGGCCCCUGCCUUGAUUCCUAGGCUUGAGUUUCCUUCUUGAUAAUCUGCCCAUUCUUUAGUUUUCCCAAGGCUGAGACUCUACUUUCCUAUCUUCAAAAAACUUCUCCCUGGGGACAGAGAGUCUGCUUUUGUAGACAAAUUUUGUAGACAUCGAAUCCUGCUGUCUGCUGGGUGCCCCUGUCACCAUGCCCUGCCUAGGUGACGUGAUAUCACCUUUGGGGUUCCCAGUUUCUCACCACCUGCCUGGAUUGCCCCCUGUGCAGUAGCCAGUCUCUAGAGCCACCCUCUACCCACCUGGCCUUGCUUUCUACCAUGUUUCCCCACCCAGUCCACCUUGGGACUGUUCCAACUUGCUCCUGGCAAAGGGCUAUUGAGUUUCUAGGUCUCAGUCCCUCUUCACCAGGCUUGUCUAAGGCCUAGUUCCAACAGAUUUAAAGGCAACUGGAGGCCAGGAUCAUUGGCUCAUGCCUGUAAUCCCAGCACUUUGGGAGACCGAGGAAGAAGGAUCAUUUGAGCUCACGAGUUCAAGGCCAAGCCACUCUGCUUCUACAAGAAAAAACAAGAAACAAAAAACAAAAAACACACACACAUUAGUCAGACGUGGUAGUGUGCCUGUACUCCUAGCUACUUGAAAGGCUAAGACAACAGGACACUUGAGUCCAGGAGAUGAAGGUUGCAGUGAGCUAUGAUUGCACCUCUGCACGCUAGCCUGAGCAGCCGAGUGAGACCCUGUCUCCAGAAAAAAUAAAUAAUUUAA